rnacentral:rRNA from 1 species
UGAGAAUUCUCAGGCGCUUGAGAGAACUCGGGUGAAGGAACUAGGCAACAUGGCACCGUAACUUCGGGAGAAGGUGCACCCUUUUUGGUGGCUCAUGCGAGCUAUAGCUGAAGAGGGUCGCAGAAACCAGGCCGCUGCGACUGUUUAUCAAAAACACAGCACUCUGCAAACACGAAAGUGGACGUAUAGGGUGUGACGCCUGCCCGGUGCUGGAAGGUUAAUUGAUGGGGUCAGCCGCAAGGCGAAGCUCUUGAUCGAAGCCCCAGUAAACGGCGGCCGUAACUAUAACGGUCCUAAGGUAGCGAAAUUCCUUGUCGGGUAAGUUCCGACCUGCACGAAUGGCGUAACGACAGCGGCGCUGUCUCCACCCGAGACUCAGUGAAAUUGAAAUCGCUGUGAAGAUGCAGCGUUCCCGUGGCAAGACGGAAAGACCCCGU